GAAGAUAUUAGUUCUUGCUGGUGUGAGAGGCUGAAGCUGCCAGCAUGAUCUGGUCCAUGAGUUGCACUGCUGAAUAUAUUGAAUUCAGCCAGGAGCUGCUACUGCAGUUCUGAUCUCGAUCUGCAUUCGUUGUUCUGAGCUAUGUAUGGAUUUGAUCGGUUUGAAGGCAUCCAUGUCUUUAAUUUCAUCGAUCAGAUCAUGUUGCAGCUUCACUCUCUCACUACCAGCAAAACCAUCUCA
rnacentral:pre_miRNA from 1 species